CUACGGGGUGCACCAGUGAGGAAUAUUGCACAAUGGGGGGAACCCUGAUGCAGCAACGCCACGUGGAGGAUGACGCAUUUCGGUGUGUAAACUCCUUUUAUAUGUCAAGAAAAUGACGGUAGCAUAUGAAUAAGCACCGGCUAACUCCGUGCCAGCAGCCGCGGUAAUACGGAGGGUGUAAGCGUUACUCGGAAUCACUGGGCGUAAAGGACGCGUAGGCGGGUUGGAAAGUCAGGUGUGAAAUCCUACAGCUUAACUGUAGAACUGCACUUGAAACUUCUAAUCGAGAGUAUGGGAGGGGGAGAUGGAAUUAGUGGUGUAGGGGUAAAAUCCGUAGAUAUCACUAGGAAUACCUAAAGCGAAGGCGAUCUCCUGGAACAUUACUGACGCUAAGGCGUGAAAGCGUGGGGAGCAAACAGGAUUAGAUACCCCUGUAGUC
rnacentral:rRNA from 1 species